rnacentral:rRNA from 1 species
GGAUGAUACGCCACACUGGAACUGGAACACGGACCAGACUCCUACGGGAGGCAGCAGUGAGGAAUUUUGCGCAAUGGGGGUAACCCUGACGCAGCGACGCCGCGUGGGUGAUGAAGGCUUUCGAGUCGUAAAGCCCUGUCAAGUGGGAAGAACCGUCAAUAUGCUAAUACCAUGUUGAUCUGACGGUACCACUAAAGGAAGCACCGGCUAACUCCGUGCCAGCAGCCGCGGUAAUACGGAGGGUGCAAGCGUUGUUCGGAAUUACUGGGCGUAAAGGGCGCGUAGGCGGCGCUGUAAGUCAGAUGUGAAAGUCCACGGCUUAACCGUGGAAGUGCAUCUGAUACUGCAGCGCUUGAGUAUCGGAGGGGAAAGUAGAAUUCCCGGUGUAGAGGUGAAAUUCGUAGAUAUCGGGAGGAAUACCGGUGGCGAAGGCGACUUUCUGGACGAAUACUGACGCUGAUGCGCGAAAGCGUGGGGAGCAAACAGGAUUGGAUACCCUGGUAGUCCACAGCUGUAAACGAUGUACACUAGAUGUAGGGGGUGUUGACCCCUCCUGUGUCACAGCUAACGCAUUAAGUGUACCGCCUGGGGAGUACGGUCGCAAGAUUAAAACUCAAAGGAAUUGACGGGGGCCCGCACAAGCGGUGGAGUAUGUGGUUUAAUUCGACGCAACGCGAAGAACCUUACCUGGUCUUGACAUCCCGAGAAUCUCCUGGAAAUAGGAGAGUGCCUUCAACCGAAGGAGCUUGGAGACAGGUGCUGCAUGGCUGUCGUCAGCUCGUGUCGUGAGAUGUUGGGUUAAGUCCCGCAACGAGCGCAACCCUCGCCUUUAGUUGCCAUCAUUAAGUUGGGCACUCUAGAGGGACUGCCGGUGUCAAACCGGAGGAAGGUGGGGAUGACGUCAAGUCCUCAUGGCCUUUAUGACCAGGGCUACACACGUACUACAAUGGCCGGUACAAAGGGCAGCGAGCUUGCGAGAGUCAGCUAAUCCCAUAAAACCGGUCUCAGUCCGGAUCGGAGUCUGCAACUCGACUCCGUGAAGUUGGAAUCGCUAGUAAUCGUGGAUCAGCAUGCCACGGUGAAUACGUUCCCGUGCCUUGUACACACCGCCCGUCACACCACGAAAGUCGGUUGUACCAGAAGACGUUGAGCUAACCGCAAGGGGGCAGGCGUCCAAGGUAUGGCUGGUAAUUGGGGUGAAGUCGUAACAAGGUA